rnacentral:rRNA from 1 species
UACGUAGGGUGCAAGCGUUAAUCGGAAUUACUGGGCGUAAAGCGUGCGCAGGCGGUUCGCUAAGACCGAUGUGAAAUCCCCGGGCUUAACCUGGGAACUGCAUUGGUGACUGGCGGGCUAGAGUAUGGCAGAGGGGGGUAGAAUUCCCCGUGUAGCAGUGAAAUGCGUAGAGAUGUGGAGGAAUACCGAUGGCGAAGGCAGCCCCCUGGGCCAAUACUGACGCUCAUGCACGAAAGCGUGGGGAGCAAACAGG